GAUGUGGUUAUUUCUUUUGUGAAUCCUUUUUUGCCUAUUUUAACAUUAAAAUAGGCAAAAAAAGAUUCACAAAAGAAAUAACCACAUCU